CGAGCCGGGCGGGCGGCCGCGUGGAGUCCCUCACGGGACUUCCCGAGGAACGUCCGGGCUCCACAGGGCAGGGUGAUGGCUAACGGCCACCCGGGGUGACCCGCGGGACAGUGCCACAGAAAGCAGACCGCCGGAGGCUUCGGCCCCCGGUAAGGGUGAAACGGUGGUGUAAGAGACCACCAGUGCCCAGGGCGACCUGGGCAGCUAGGUAAACCCCACCCGGAGCAAGGUCAAGAAGGAAGCGCCCCGGUGCUUCUGCGCGGACGUUCGAGGGCUGCCCGCCCGAGUCCGCGGGUAGACCGCUGGAGGCCGGUGGCAACGCCGGUCCUAGAUGGAUGGCCGUCGCCGACGGGACCCGCGAGGCCCCGUCGGAACAGAACCCGGCGUACAGCCCGACUCGUCUG
rnacentral:RNase_P_RNA from 1 species